UACGUAGGGUGCAGGCGUUAAUCGGAAUUACUGGGCGUAAAGCGUGCGCAGGCGGUUUGUUAAGACAGGUGUGAAAUCCCCGGGCUUAACCUGGGAAUUGCGCUUGUUACUGGCAGACUUGAGUGUGGCAGAGGGGGGUGGAAUUCCAAGUGUAGCAGUGAAAUGCGUAGAUAUUUGGAGGAACACCGGUGGCGAAAGCGGCUCUCUGGCCCGGUUCUGACGCUGAGGCGCGAAAGCGUGGGGAGCAAACAGG
rnacentral:rRNA from 1 species